AUUGAACGCUGGCGGCAGGCCUAACACAUGCAAGUCGAGCGGAUGAAGGGAGCUUGCUCCUGGAUUCAGCGGCGGACGGGUGAGUAAUGCCUAGGAAUCUGCCUGGUAGUGGGGGAUAACGUCCGGAAACGGGCGCUAAUACCGCAUACGUCCUGAGGGAGAAAGUGGGGGGUCUUCGGACCUCACGCUAUCAGAUGAGCCUAGGUCGGUUUAGCUAGUUGGUGGGGUGAAGGCCUACCAAGGCGAGGAUCGGUAACUGGUCUGAGAGGAUGAUCAGUCACACUGGAACUGAGACACGGUCCAGGCUCCUACGGGAGGGAGCAGUGGGGAAUAUUGGACAAUGGGCGAAAACCUGAUCCAGCCAUGCCGCGUGUGUGAAGAAGGUCUUCGGAUUGUAAAGCACUUUAAGUUGGGAGGAAGGGCAGUAAGUUAAUACCUUGCUGUUUUGACGUUACCAACAGAAUAAGCACCGGCUAACUUCGUG
rnacentral:rRNA from 1 species